rnacentral:rRNA from 1 species
UACAGAGGGUCUCAAGCGUUGUUCGGAUUCAUUGGGCGUAAAGGGUGCGUAGGCGGCGCGGUAAGUCGGGUGUGAAAUCGUCGGGCUUAACUCCGAAACUGCGAUUCGAUACUGCCGUGCUUGAGGACUGGAGAGGAGACUGGAAUUUACGGUGUAGCGGUGAAAUGCGUAGAUAUCGUAAGGAAGACCAGUGGCGAAAGCGGGUCUCUGGACAGUUCCUGACGCUGAGGCACGGAAGGUCAGGGGAGCAAACGGG